AUUGAACGCUGGCGGCAGGCCUAACACAUGCAAGUCGAACGAGUGGCGGACGGGUGAGUAAUGUCUGGGAAACUGCCUGAUGGAGGGGGAUAACUGCUGGAAACGGUAGCUAAUACCGCAUACCCUCGGAUGUGCCCAUGUGGGAUUAGCUAGUGGGUGGGGUAACGGCUCACCUAGGCGACGAUCCCUAGCUGGUCUGAGAGGAUGACGAGCAACACUGGAACUGAGAAACGGUCCAGACUCCUACGGGAGGCAGAAGUGGGGAAUAUUGCACAAGGGGCGAAAGCCUGAUGCAGCCAGGCCGCUUGUAUGAAGAAGGCCUUCGGGGUGUAAAGUACUUUCAGCGGGGAGGCGGUACCCGCAGAAGAAGCACCGGCUAACUCCGUGCCAGCAGCCGCGGUAAUUC
rnacentral:rRNA from 1 species